rnacentral:tRNA from 1 species
GGAGAUGUGGCUCAGUGGUAGAGUUCUUGCCUUGCAUGCAUAAAGCCCUGGGUUCGAUCCCCAGCAUCGCAC